rnacentral:rRNA from 1 species
UACGGAGGGUGCGAGCGUUGUCCGGAAUCACUGGGCGUAAAGGGCGCGUAGGCGGCCUCUUAAGUCGAACGUGAAAUCCCCGGGCUCAACCCGGGAACUGCGUCCGAUACUGGGGGGCUUGAAUCCGGGAGAGGGAUAUGGAAUUCCAGGUGUAGCGGUGAAAUGCGUAGAUAUCUGGAGGAACACCGGUGGCGAAGGCGGCAUCCUGGACCGGUAUUGACGCUGAGGCGCGAAAGCCAGGGGAGCAAACGGG